rnacentral:rRNA from 1 species
UACGUAGGGUGCAAGCGUUGUCCGGAAUUAUUGGGCGUAAAGAGCUCGUAGGCGGUCUGUCGCGUCGGCUGUGAAAACCCGAGGCUCAACCUCGGGCCUGCAGUCGAUACGGGCAAACUAGAGUACUGCAGGGGAGACUGGAAUUCCUGGUGUAGCGGUGAAAUGCGCAGAUAUCGGGAAGAACACCCGUGGCGAAGGCGGCUCUCUGGGACGGUACUGACGCUGAGACGCGAAAGCGUGGGGAGCAAACAGG